UACGUAGGCAGCGAGCGUUGUUCGGAGUUACUGCGCGUAAAGGGUGUGUAGGCGGUUGCUUAAGUUUGGUGUGAAAUCUCCCGGCUUAACCGGGAGGGUGCGCCGAAUACUGAGUGACUUCGAGUGCGGGAGAGGAAAGUGGAAUUCCUGGUGUAGCGGUGAAAUGCGUAGAUAUCAGGAAGAACACCCGUGGCUAAGGCGGCUCUCUAGUACGGUACUGACGCUGAGACGCGAAAGCGUGGGGAGCGAACAGG
rnacentral:rRNA from 1 species